UUGCCAGAGAGAAAAGCAACACUCCCAGGGACCACCAGUCAGCAGUGUGGUUGUAAGGCCCACCACUCAGGACCUCUGGGGCUGUGGCAUGAAAGAGCUACUAGCUGGAGAAGGUAGUCUACUCAGCACUCAAGCCUAUCUUGGAGGACCCACACCCAAAUCCUUCGCAUCCAUAGGAACCCAAAUAACUGUCUCUGCUUCCUACUGCCUUCUCAGAUCUGUUGAAACUUCUUGAGAUUCUUGCUCAACUUAAGAGAAAAGACUUAACUCUACCUUUACAUCACGGUGGAUGAUACCCAAGUCAUGGAGAUAGCCUGUGGAGAACAGUGAGCAUGGGUGUGUCUGCCGGUUUCUUUAUAGCCCCUAUCUCUUCUCUAUCCUGACUUCCAAAAUUAAAUAUUAAUUCUGUUUCUCCUCCCC
ensembl:processed_transcript Gm3948 predicted gene 3948